rnacentral:lncRNA from 1 species
UUUUGUAUGUCUCCCAUGCAGUCCUAAAUUGAGGACAGGACCCCUGCCUGCCUCUCCCUGGGGACCCUGGUUGCAUCUCCAUGAGGGCAGAUGGGGUGAAACUCUGAACCACAGAGAAGAGAGUAGAGUGGAUGUUGCUUGUCGGUCAGUUAGAUAACGGGGCUUCUUCAGGAUCACCCUUGCCUCCAUUUUCAGAAGAUCCUGUAGGAAUUUGCGCUGGCUUCCACUUUCCUCAGGCACAGAAACUCUUUGAGGAAGCAGGAUGCUCUUGCUUGGGGUUGACUGUCCUCGGGCUCUAGUGCCCAGUUACCUGAUGAUGGUUGCUUCAGACCUCAUACCUCCAGGGAGCUCUGUUGACCCAUCCGAAGCUCUGCCUACAAGAUUUGGAUUUGUUUUCCACACCAAAACAAAGACCAGAUUGAGACAGGGUCCUCUGCCAUCCCAAGUGGGCACUGCCACUAAUUUCUAAUGCCACCUUGGGAAAGGCAGCCCCAUCUUACUUCAUCAGGCCUAUCCCUUCAGAGACAUGCACAGAGUGAAUGGGUCAGAAGUGGUUCAGUUUCCUUUUUAAGCCUAUUGUUCCAGUUCUGUCUUGCCUCACAAUGCCCUUGAUGACCCAGGAGCCCAUUGGGCAAGAAUCUGGAAUUCCUUUGAGAAUCUCUAGGCUCAUGCCAGGCUGCACAUGGUAUUGCCCAGUCAGAGGCUUCAGCCUCAUCCUUAAGAAGGAAGUUGAACUGGAUUGUGCAAUGAUUUCAGAAGGCACCAAGCAUGAACUGAAAUGUAUUUGAAGAGAUGUAGCUCAUUGGGCUAUGAUUUAACAGGUUCGUUGGGGGCAUGUGUUCACCCAUUUACACAACAAAUAAGGCAGAAGUAGAG